rnacentral:rRNA from 1 species
GGGUCAGUAGGUUGGUCGUGCCACCGGUACGUACUGGUCUCACUGAUCCCUCCUUCCUGAAGAACCGUAAUGCCAUUAAUUUGGUGUUGCGGGGAAACAGGACUGUUACUUUGAAAAAAUUAGAGUGUUUAAAGCAAGCUAACGCUUGAAUACAUUAGCAUGGAAUAAUGAAAUAGGACGAUCGAUCCUAUUUUGUUGGCUUCUAGGAUUGACGUA